GUGUUCACGUCAGCACAUAUACUAAAAUUGGACUACUACAAAUUAGCAUGGCCCCUGUGCAAAGAUUUACUUACAUACUGUGUAAAACAUUAACUCUUA
rnacentral:snRNA from 1 species